rnacentral:tRNA from 1 species
GAAGUGGUGUCGGAAAUGGUAGAGACGAUAGUCAAGUAGCAUUCCAAACUUGAUGAGUGUGUAAAAAGGCAAUAUUGCUUGGGGCAAGGGAUGCACCCCACACAAAUGCAGGUUCGAAUCCUGCCCACUUCA